rnacentral:rRNA from 1 species
UACCUGGUUGAUUCUGCCAGUAGUCAUAUGCUUGUCUCAAAGAUUAAGCCAUGCAUGUCUAAGUAUAAGCAAUUAUACCGCGAAACUGCGAAUGGCUCAUUAAAUCAGUUAUCGUUUAUUUGAUAGUACCUUACUACUUGGAUACCUGUGGUAAUUCUAGAGCUAAUACAUGCUGAAAAAUCCCGACUCACGGAGGGAUGUAUUUAUUAGAUUAAAAACCAAUGCC